AGAUUCAGGAACUUCUCCAUCUUUCUCUUGGAUACCUGUCUUUGCCAACACCUGAUGGGCAUGGCAGUGUAGAUCCUGGACUUCCUGACAUGCCGCCCCCGUAAGUGGUUAAGGUAGGAAACAACGCCUCCACAAUGACGAGACAGCCGACAGGGAGGAGGUGAGGACCCUGGGAGUGUGGUGCCAGGAAAAUAACCUCUCACCCAACGUCAACAAAACAAAAAAGCUGAUCGUGGACUUCAGGAAAUAGCAGAGGGCAACAGGACCGCAGUGGAGAAGUUCCUCGGCGAACACAUCACUGACAAACUGAAAUCGUCCACCCACACAUACAGUGUUGUGAAGAAGGCACAACAGCGCCUCUUCAACUUCAGGAGGCUGAAUAAAUUUGGUUUGGCACCUAAAACCCUCACAAACUUCAACAGAUGCACAAUUGAGAGCAUCCUGUCGGGCUGUAUCACGGUCUGGUAUGGCUACUGCAUUGCCCACAACCACAGGGCUCUCCAGAGGGUUGUCGUGUCUUUG
ensembl:lncRNA